rnacentral:rRNA from 1 species
UACGAAGGGGGCGAGCGUUUGUUCGGAAUUACUGGGCGUAAAGGGCGUGUAGGCGGCGACCCAAGUCAGAUGUGAAAGUCCUGGGCUUAACCUGGGGACUGCAUUUGAUACUGGGUUGCUUGAAUUCGGGAGAGGAUAGCGGAAUUCCCAGUGUAGAGGUGAAAUUCGUAGAUAUUGGGAAGAACACCGGUGGCGAAGGCGGCUAUCUGGACCGACAUUGACGCUGAGGCGCGAAAGCGUGGGGAGCAAACAGG